GUAGGCCGGUCUGCCGCUUGUGCCGCAAGGCGCAUGAGGAAAGUCCGGGCAACACAGAGCGUCCCACUUCCUAACAGAAAGCUGUCCGCGAGGGUAGAGUAACGCAGAAGAAAAUAACCGCCCGGCCCCCGGGUCGCGGUAAGGGUGAGAAGGUGGGGUAAGAGCCCACCGGCCUUGUGGCGACACAAGGGCCGUGCGUCUUGGGAGUUGUAAGGUCAAGUAAACCGGCAUCAAAGAGGGUGGCUCGCCCCACGCCGGAGGGUAGACCGCUAAAGCCUGUAUGGUGACAUACGGCUCAGAUAAAUGGCAGACGCCCCACCCCUCGGGAUGGGGAGACAGAACCCGGCUUACAGGCCGACUGC
rnacentral:RNase_P_RNA from 1 species